rnacentral:ncRNA from 1 species
GUAGUCUGCCAUACGCAGGAAGACCCGCUGAACUGAAGCAUCUCAUUAAGCGGAGGAAAAGAAACUAACUAGGAUUCCCUUAGUAAAGGCGAUCGAAAAGGGAACAGCCCAACGUCUUAAUCCCGCAAGGGAAAUGUAGUCGGUUCACCUAUUGCACUGGUCUAAGUCAGAUGGAAUGCUGCGCGAUUCAGAGUAAAAGCCUCGUAUGACCAACCGCAAGCUUACGAUGGACCGGGGAGAGUCGGAUACUUUGAGAGUAGUGUCUUAAGGGGGUGGUAUGUCCCAUCCAAGGCUAAAUAACGUGAGGAGACCGAUAGAUUACAGUAGUGUGAACGAAAGAUGAAAAGAACUCUAAAACAGAGGG